AAAAAAAGAGAGAGAGAGAGAGAGAGAGAGUCUAUGGAGUAAACUGUGCUAGAAGGUUGGAAGAAACAAAAGCUGCCUUGAGGACGUGAGAUGUACCAAAAAUUGCGAUCAGAUUUUGCAAGAGAGAGGCUUUAGCACACAGAAUGAAAGAAGAGGUCUUCAUGCGCUGGCAGAGAGGGAUGCAGAUUACACCUCUGAUCUCAAGGAUACUGUUUCACCUUUAUACACCUAGGUGGACUUUUAUCUGUACUUGAAAUACU
rnacentral:lncRNA from 1 species